rnacentral:lncRNA from 1 species
CGUCUUCGUCUGAAUGAAGUUUUUGCACUCUAACUUUAGUAUAAGUAAAUAGAAAUCUAUGAAAUUUAAAUACAAGGUUUAUGACCAUAAAAGGAAGGUUGGGAUUGAUUUUGGGUGUUUUUGUCCCAACAGUUUAGGAAUUAGGGGCCAAAAAGGGCCCAAAUAAGCAUUUUUCUUGGUUUUCACACAAUAACUUCUGUACAAGUAAACAGAAAUCUAUGAAAUUUUAACAUAAGGUCUAUGACCACAAAAGGAAAGUUGGGAUUGAUUUUAGGAGUUUUAGUCCCAACAGUUUAGGAAUUAGGGGCCAAAAAUAGGUCCCAAGUAAGCAUUUUUCUUGGUUUCGCACAAUAACUUCAGUAUAAGUAAUAAAAAUCUAUGAAAUUUUAACACAAGAUUUAUGACCACAAAAGGAAGGUUUGGAUUGAUUUUGGGAGUUUUGGUCCCAACAAAUUAGGGGCCAAAAUUAAACUUUGUUUGAUUUCAUCAAAAAAUGAAUUAUUGUGGUUCUUUGAUAUGCCAAGCCAAAUCUAACAGUGUAUUCAGAUUCUUAAUUGUUGGUCCUGUUUAAAAAUUGGUCUACAUUAAGGUCCAAAGGGUCCAAAAUUAAACUUAGCAUGAUUUCAUUCUGUGUCAGAAACCUAUGUUGUGUUAACUAUUUAAUCACAAUCAAAAUUCAGAGCUGUAUCAAUGUUGUGUCCAUACUUGCCCCAACUGUUCAGGGUUUGACCUCUGCAGUCGUAUAUAGCUGCGCCCUGCGGAGCAUCUGGCUUUAUUGUCAAAUAAAAUUUAUGACUUUCUUAAUUUGGAUUUUUUUUAAUUGUGUUUUUUUUUCAAGCAGAUUUAUCAAAGAAAAUGUAUAUGUAUCCCGGUGAUUAAAGCUAACUGUGGCACUUAAUUAAAAUGAUGGGUAAAUGUUGUCUUUCAUUGAUCAUUUGACCUUUAAAGAAUUAUGUUGUGGUAGCUCUUGAUUGUACAUGUAAUAGAUUAAAUUGAUAGAAAAUAUUAUUCAUAAUGAUGUUAUGAUAAAAAAGAUUUAAAAGAAUGAGGUUAUGAUAUAAUAGUUUUGAAAAAGAUUGAAAAAUAAAAAGUGUUAAGUGUUGGAUAUCAAUUCGUGGCGGAACCAAAAGAAAGAUUUUAUGAUUUUUUUUUUUAAUCAAACCUUUUUUAGGAAUAGGCCAUUCAUAAGAAAUAAAGUUCUGUCUCUUUUAUUUUACUUUUUAAGUUAGAUACAUUUUUUAGACCAUAAACAACAAUGGAAGAAAAUAGGAUUACCUUUUAAAGCCAUAUUAAUAAUUUGGUUAUAUAGGUUAAAUUUUUUAUUAAUAUGUGAAGAACUCAUAGUUUUUAGUGCCACAUAGUUUUAAGGAUUUUUUUUAUAAUAACUUUGAUCAAUUUGUAGACAGUUGAUCUUAUUAUUCAUCAUGAGUUUUUGUUUUUUAAGGGUGGGAGUCUAAAUGAAUUGCACUCUACUUGUCAUACAUAUGUUGUAAGUUGUAUAUACUGCUAUGUAAAUAAUUGUAAAUAAUCAUAAAGCCAGUAAAAUGUGGAUUUUUUUUUUUAAGUAUAUGUGUUAUCUAUAAUAUUAUGCAAAACCACUAGGUUUGUAAAAUCAGGUUUUCACUGUUAGUUCUAUUAAAUAUAACGCCCGCACUUAGUAAAAUAUACUGUUCCAAAUUGGUGUAUCUCUUUUUCUCGCCUGCCAAACUCACAUUCUGAUAUUUUUUUAUAUCUUGGAAAAGUGCACUGAUAUGGUUCUAACACUGAAUUUUUCUAGAUAAGAAAAUUGGAGACUUUUUUUAGUCAACUACUAUCUUUUUUUUCCCUGUUAUGUAAGAAAGCAUAAGUAUAUUCAUUAAGAUUUAAAUAUUUUUUGGAAAAACAAAAAUGAGUUCAUUUUAAUCAAAUACACUUUAAGAUGAUUGCUGCUGACAUAUAGAAUAUAAACAUUUUGAAAAUGACUGUUUGUGCAAAAUAUCAAAACUAUUGGAAAAAAUAUCAGUCCCUUAGUUUUUUUUGUGAUACAAGCAUUUCAGAAUUAUUAUUUUUGGCAUGAAUAGGCGUCCGGAUAUUGUAUAUGUAAUAAAUAGUCUGAAGGGAAUUACAUACUUCAAUAUUUAUUUCAAUCAAUGGCAUGUUUAUACCUUAUUUUAUGUUAAUUCAACUUACAAUUGUUACUCUUUAUUUUGAUGAAAUAUACCAGGUAUAAAUGUAAUGGAAAGAGGAAUAACUGAAAUGACCAAGUCAUUUUACAAUAGUUUUGGUAAAGUAAAUGGAAAAUUAAUGUUUAAAAUUGUUUAAUAGGCAGUAAUUAUUUUUUUCUUGCUUGUGUCAAAUAAGUGCAUUAAGGCUCAGCCUGGUAACAAUUCAUAGUUCUUUUUAAAUAUGAAUGAUUUACACAAAACAAUAUCUUUUAAAACAUUUUCUGAAUUAUUUUUUGAAGUAAAUUUUAAUUUUUGUAACUGAAUAUUUUUAAAUUAUAGUUGACAAAAUUUGGUAUUUAACAUAGAUAUAGAGAUAUAGGUUGCCUCCCUUUCACCAGUAUUAGUAGAAAUUACUAUAAAUGAUGAUUCUGGUAUUUUUCCCCAUUCUAUAAAUAAGUAUGAAGCCCCAUCAUUAUGUAUAUAAAAAUAUGAUAUUUUGAUAUAUUAUGUUAACAUAUACUGCUGGUGGAGAGCAUCAGUUAUAAUAAACAUUAGAAGACCUUAGUGAAUCCUACCUCCAUCAUUAACCUUUUAAGAUGUAUCAGUCAGAAUAAAGAAAAAGGUCUAUUUAUAAAGUUCUUCAAAACCCAUCAACUUUUAUCUAUGUUUGUAUAUAUAUAUAUUCAGUGAAGAUAUGCACAUCACUGUGUGUACACAAUUUGUAAUAAUUUAAACCUGUACAGUUUUAUCAAAUUGUUUAAGGAUUGUGUCAAUUUAAUGAAAUCAACUCUUACAGUUUUAAUCCAUAAUCUUUAAACUUGUAUUAGGUGGUAUUCAAAUAACAUUUACGAUGUGACUUGAGAUAAAUUUCAACUGCAUUCUCAAUGGAGGUACCCCCCUAUUUUGUCGUUUUGCUAACUCUUGGAGACAAUACUAAAAAUAUUCUCAAUUUUGCUAAUUUGCUGAAAUCUUUUAAAUAAGUUUAAAAUAAGUCCAUUUAAAGCUUGCAUUUCUGAAUAAUGCAACAAUAAACUUAUUCAAUAUAAAACCAUUGUGUGUUUGCAAUAAGCAGCCAUACAAUGUUAUUUUAUAUUGAAGGGAGGUGCAUUAAAAUUUGAAGGUUGAUCAUCUUUAAAAUGGGCUUUACUUCCGAAAGUCUAUUCUGAUUUAAUGGCUUAAUUUAUCAUCAAUAUUUAUUCUUAACCCAGUUAAAUUGAACAUGAAAAAAUAAUACCUCAUAAUGUAAUUAUUAUUAUUGAUUCAAGUGUAAUUUAGAAAUUGUUGAUUAUAAAAUGUAGGCAGUAUAAUUUCAGUGACACAUCCUGUCAUAUUUGGAUACUUGUGUGUGAACUUUUUGUAACUAAUGUAUUUCCUCUUUAAUAGAUUACAGUUGUGUAUCAACACAUUUAAGUUGCAAGUUCAUUUUGUAUGUAUAUAGAAUUAUUUUUUUUUAUUAUUAUUUUUUUUUUUUAUCUUCAAAGACAGUUUUUUUUUUUUUUUUUUUUUAAAUAUUUCACUUGCUUGAUUAUGUAGUAAAGUAUAUUGAAUAUAUUUUACAGUGUAAUUUGUUAUGUGUUAGUUUUUGAUAUCAAAUUGAUUUUGAAAAGAUGAUCUUUUAUAAGCAUUUAGAAAAUUGGAUUUUUUAUUACAGUGAAUUGAUAUCAUGUAAAGUUACAAUUCAUAGGUUAUAACAAAUCUUUUAAGUACUAUCAAAAAGAAUUUUGACUGAAAUUGUUUAAUUAUUAAGAUAUGUUUUAUGAGUAUGUA